UACGGAGGGUGCGAGCGUUGUCCGGAAUCAUUGGGCGUAAAGGGCGCGUAGGUGGCGGCUUAAGCGUGCGGUGAAAGCUCGGGGCUCAACCCCGAGUCGGCCGUGCGAACUGAGUCGCUUGAGCACUGUAGAGGCAGGCGGAAUUCCGGGUGUAGCGGUGGAAUGCGUAGAGAUCCGGAAGAACACCAGUGGCGAAGGCGGCUCACUGGUCCGGUACUGACGCUGAGGUGCGAAAGCGUGGGGAGCAAACAGG
rnacentral:rRNA from 1 species